AGCAUUCCACAUUUUAACCCCACAUACUGUCACACAAAAAUUUUUACGAGUGGUUUGUACCUUAGGUAAAAUAAAAUUUCCAUUACCUCUCAAAUUAUGAAUCUUCUCUUUGUGAGAAAAAAAUUUUUGCACAUAUUUUGGAAGUUGAUUAUUGAAUGCUUUAAAUAGCAUAAUUACAAGCCUUUAUUCAGUGC